UAGCAAAGUGGGAGUGAUUU
rnacentral:misc_RNA from 1 species